UGGGAUUCCAUUUAUGUUUAAAUUUCGCUGCAAAUUGUGGAGAGAGAGAGAGAGUAAGGGUUAGGAAUGGAGAGAGUGGCAUCCAUGGCGAAGGCAGCCGUGCAUAAAGCCAGAUCAUAUUGCUCUCCGAUCAAAUACUUCAUACUCAUGGGUGCCAGUAUGCGCCCCACCUUCGAUGACUUCAACAUCGUUUUGGUUGAAAAGAUAUCAAUCCUCCGCGGCAAAGUCGACCGGGGUGACAUCGUCAUAAUGGUUAGCCCCGACCAAUCGACGACGUUCCUAACCAAGAGGAUCAAGGCUCUCGGGGGCGACGUCGUUUCUUAUGCUCCCCCCAAUAAUCUCCCUCGCGGAUAUACUGAUCUCAACAAGACUCUUGUACCAAAUGGGCACCUUUGGGUCGAAGGGGAUAAUUUGCUCAACAGUAGAGAUUCCAGGCAUUUCGGUGCAGUUCCUUACGAGCAUCUACGCUAUAGAGUAUUUGCUGUGGUGUGGCCACCUAGCGAAUGCAGAUUGAUAAGCAACAAGAUUGAAUAACUCUGUCUUGAAAGGUGCACUUCCAUAGCACUUAAAUCUUUCUUCAGUCAACCUUGUUUGGGCAUUCUUCGAUUUGUUAUUGUUCACAUCCAUCGAUGGCAUACAUUUCUAAACACCUGUAUGAGAUUAUGAAUAAGUAAGAAAAUUCUGUUCUUGUUUUAUUGCUAUGAUACAUGUGAACUCUGAUAUUCAUUCCGGUGGAACUUGCAGUUUCUGCUCUCUACAUGAAUCUUACCUUGCUUCACUUGAGAGCUAUCGAAUAAAGACUCAAACAAGCUGUUGGAGGAGAGAAGAGAUGUGGAUGAGCCAACCCCCUUUUGGAUAUAGUUUGCCAUACAGCAACAGAAUGUGCUAUUUGGAGCCUUGGAAAUUACUAGUUGGCAGAACUGAUUCAAUGGUCUUUGUUUUUCUAAAAAGUGUUUGUUCCCUUUUGUAAAUUUGGGCUGGAAAAUAAAGAAACUAUGGAAAUCUCA